rnacentral:lncRNA from 1 species
ACUAAAACCAUGGCACCUCCCACAAGGAAUAAUCAAAUAACCAAAGGCCAGGUCACUGCCCUCACAGAGAAGAGUUAGACUUUUAAUCUAAACCGACCCUGAACUCAGCCUGCAGAGACACUAAAAUGAGGCUGUGCCUGCUGAGCUUGGUGGUGGGGAUCACCAUGGGGGUGACUGGGAUCCCCCUGGGAAAAGUCUUUACAAGGAGACAACAAACAGAGGUGGAAAAGGAGGGACAGGACUCCCUGGAGCCAAAUAACGAGUUGACUUCAUUAUAUCAACCAGAAUCUGUAUCAUGGAACUUAACUGAAACUUUUGAGGACACUGAGGAGGACAAGCCCAAGAAAGCAAAAAGACAACUCCCUAUCCUUGGUUCUUAUUCAGGAAUGACUUCAAGAGCAGCUAACGAUAAUGAGACCUUUAUCUUUAUACGUAUUUGUGGAGGUACCUGCAAUGAAUCUAAGACACUCCAUGAGAAUAGCCCUGAGAAAGAAAAAGAAGAAAAAAGACAAAGAGAGCCUCAUCCCUACAGAGAACCAGUGAGAGACCUGAACCUUCCAGGGACUAUCCUACAGCUGCUUAACCAGACAAAGUAUCCCAAGAAGAAAAGAGUUGACCAGUGGUCAGUCCUUGGGAGAGUGGCUCCUCCACCUGGAAAAAAUUCCAAUAAUAUGGUGGCGAUGAAGUUGCAUAAUGACACUCACAUUGACAAUCUAGCCAAGAAGGCCCCACAACAGGCUAAUGACCUUAGAGGAAGGCGAUGCUCUGCCUGUUGUGCUGAUGAUAGAAACCUUGCGGUCCUUGUGAGAAGAGACUGAGAAGAAGCCAAUGAAGUGUUUUCUGCAUGGACCUAGCACAAUGCCCAGCAGAGACCAGUCACCAUAUACAAUGGAGCUAAGAUACUACAGCUGGAUUGGAAAAAGGAAGUAUGCCUUGAUUUCGUCCUCCUCACUUCCAUGUUGUUGCUAAGUCCUGUUUCUUCAUAUCAUGCUUGAGUCCUCCUUCGGUUCACAAUAAAGUCUCUCUUUUCCUGAUUACCUCA